UUUGAUCAUGGCUCAGAUUGAACGCUGGCGGCAAGGCCUAACACAUGCAAGUCGAGCGGCAGCACAAGUGAGUUUACUUAUGAGGUGGCGAGCGGCGGACGGGUGAGUAAUGCCUAGGGAUCUGCCCAGUCGAGGGGGAUAACAGUUGGAAACGACUGCUAAUACCGCAUACGCCCUACGGGGUGAAAGGAGGGGACCUUCGUGGCCUUCCGCGAUUGGAUGAACCUAGGUGGGAUUAGCUAGUUGGUGAGGUAAUGGCUCACCAAGGCGACGAUCCCUAGCUGUUCUGAGAGGAUGAUCAGCCACACUGGGACUGAGACACGGCCCAGACUCCUACGGGAGGCAGCAGUGGGGAAUAUUGCACAAUGGGGGAAACCCUGAUGCAGCCAUGCCGCGUGUGUGAAGAAGGCCUUCGGGUUGUAAAGCACUUUCAGUAGGGAGGAAAGGGUGAGUCUUAAUACGGCUCAUCUGUGACGUUACCUACAGAAGAAGGACCGGCUAACUCCGUGCCAGCAGCCGCGGUAAUACGGAGGGGUCCGAGCCGUUNANUCGGAAUUUACUGGGCGUAACAGCGUGCGCAGG
rnacentral:rRNA from 1 species